CCCGGAAGCGCAGCCGCGCCAACGCUCAGAAGCAGGAGAAGCGUCUCCGCCGCCGCUGCCGCCGCCGCCGCCGCCGCCGCCACCGCCACCAACCAUCGUCUCAGUCAUGCCGAAGCACGAGUUCUCUGUCGACAUGACCUGUGAAGGCUGUAGUAAUGCAGUCACUCGGGUCCUCAACAAGCUGGGAGGAGUUCAGUUUGAGAUCGACCUGCCCAACAAGAAGGUUUUCAUCGAGUCUGAGCACAGCGUGGACACUCUGCAGGAGACCCUGAGGAAAACAGGGAAGACCGUUACCUAUCUCGGCCCCAGCUAGUGAGGGCCUGGGCCCUCAGCCUGCAGGAUGGAUCAAAGUGGGCAGCAUCAUACUUUCAAGAUUCAUCUAAGUGGUAGCAUGGAUCAGACACCCAUCCUUUCCUGCCUUCCGGACCGGACCGAUCUGGAACCUGGUAAUCCUGUUCCACAGUGGAGUUCCUGCGGAGACCCUCACGUGCCCUGCCCCUCCCUGGCUUCCCUGCAAUAAAGUGGAGCUGCUUUUGUUGGA